GAUAAACGCUGGCGGCGUGUCUAACACAUGCAAGUCGAACGCUCUUUUACGCAAGUGAGAGGGAGUGGCGGACGGGUGAGUAACACAUGGGAAUCGACCCAUUCGUGAGGAAUACCACCGAGAAAUCGGUGACAAUACCGCAUGAGCUUCGCAAGAAGGAAAGCUUCCGUAAGGAGGCGCGAGUGGACGAGCCUGUGCCUGAUUAGUUAGUUGGUGGGGUAAGAGCCUACCAAGACUGCGAUCAGUCGCUGGUCUGAGAGGAUGAUCAGCCACACUG
rnacentral:rRNA from 1 species